rnacentral:lncRNA from 1 species
UUGAUAUAACCGACGAUGUAUAUUUACCCACCACAUAAUAUCACUAAGUUGCAACACAAAAAAACAUUUUCUAAGCACAUGAAAGCGUAUUAGUUAAUUUUAUUUGGAUAUCUUAUUCUUACCAGCACGUACACUUGAAAUCAUAUUCACACGCACAACCUUAACUUUCAACAGUACAUGCCGGAUUAUUACACGAUCAACAAUGCAACCAUAGCAUCUAAAAUUACUAGGAAAUGGAAUCUCUAGACGGUUUUGCAGAAAUGAGCACCGAAAUUCCAAACAUGCAUAUUCACCAUUAUUUUCCUUUCCAAGAGAACUCAAAACUCACUUCUGUACCAAUACACUCCUUUUGUCUCACCUUCAUCCUUCUCAACAUAAAUGCAUUCCUUCAUUUCUCUGUACAUGGCCUUAAGAAUCGGAGUUCCAUCAUACUGAUAAUACUCGCCCAAUAUUGGUUUCAUUGCCUCUGUAGCUUCGAGUCCAUGAUAAUGAGGGAUCAUCGAGAAUAUGUGGUGGCAAACAUGAGCAUUACACACAUUAUGAAACACCUUGUUGAGAAUUCCAUAAUCUCUAUCGAUGGUGCAUAGAGCUCCCCUCAACCAGUCCCACUCGGUAGAAUCAUAGUAAGGCAAUGACGGGUGGGUGUGAUUCAAUAUGGUGAUCAACACGAACCAUCCGUUAACAACUAGCAAUGGACCUCCAUACACAAGAAAAACCCAUUCAAAUCCUUUGGCCAAUACCAUACGGUAUAGUCCAUAGAUAACUGCAAGAAUAGCAACAUCAGAAAUAAUGAUUUCCUUACGUUCACGGUCAGAGUAAAGUGGACUAUGAGGAUCAUAGUGGGAAGUCCAUCUUUCAUACUUGUGUCCAGAAACAUUGAACAUCAAGUAUAGAGGAAAACCUAUAAGGAGUGUGGUAAGCCAAACAAGAACUCGGCCAGGUGGGUUAUCGAGGAUUUUGUAAUAGUUUCGGAUAUUGGACUUGAAUCUUGGGACAUAAACCUCAUCAUUUUCAAGGGAUUGGGUGUUGGCAUGGUGACGACGGUGGCUAAUUUUCCAAGAGAAAUAAGGGACGAGGAGAGAGGAGUGCACUACAAGGCCAACAAGGUCAUCAACCCAUUGAUAAUCACUAAAUGCAUGGUGAUCACAUUCGUGGCCGACGACCCAGGCCCCGGUUAGGACACAGCCUUGAACAGCAAUGUAAGCAACCCAGCCCAAAUAGUUGAGGGGACGAGGGAGGAGGUCGAUAUAGUUUGUGGCCACAUAGUACAGGAUGUAGGCCAUGAGGAGAUCCUGAAUAAGGUAUCGGAAAGAGGUGAUAAGGGACUUUUGGAAGCAAUGGGGUGGAACGGCUUUCUUUAAGUCUCCAAUUGUGAAUGGAGGCUUCUCGUGAGGAGCCCGUCGAAGGGCUUCAGCUGCGGUCUUCUUGCCACUAGGCGGAUCCGACAUGCGACCACCUGCACCCAUCUUUCAAACGUUCUGUGCAAAAUUUUUUUUGAAAAAGUAGGGUUAGAACUGGAAUAAUUAAUGUUGUUCAUCAAAAGGUAACAUGGAGACAGAACUUAAAUAUAUGGAAGGACAUGCAUUCUACUAAUUCUACGUAUAUAUGUGGCUAUAUAAUUGUAACUUUGUAAUUAUGUGUUGUGGUGUUGGGGGUAAUUAUUAAGGAGUAAGAACAAACCAGGAAGGUAGAGAAGCUCUUUCUUUGAGUUAGCCUCUCUCUCCUCAAGUCCUCAGUCCUCACUCUCCCCUCUUAAUUCUUCAGUGUUUAUGUUGUGUGCAGAAAAUAAAGUAGGAGUAGAGUUAUUUAUAGCUUCUACUCCGCCCGCCCGCCACAAACAAGUAAGUUGUUUGGACAGACUUGCACGUAAUUGUGGAUUAACAAUACUGCUUCACUAAGGGCGGCCGAUGAAUUUGAAUAUUGGAGUAACAAAAUAAUUUGAUAAUUAAGAAUACUGUUUGCCAGGUCUCUUUUGGCGGGCGCGCCAGCCAAUUGUUUUUACUUAUUUGGGUCGCUUUUUCCCCCGUCAUGUGCGUAUAGCAAAUUAUGCACAUCAUCUCAUUACUAUUCAACCGAGCCUACUAAAAUUAUGCGAAUCACAUUUUUACCUAUUUUAAAAUUUAAAUGAAUUAGACACAUGUUAUAAAUAAAACCUAUAAUUAAUUUUUCAAAUAUUAAAUGCAUAUCUUAAUUUUUAUUUUAAAAAAUAAUAAUAAUUGAAAAGUAGGACUUAUAUAUAGCCUCAGUUAAUAACAUGUUAGAUUGUUGUUAUUUUGAAUGCAAUUAAAAGUAAUAGUCUCUCUAUUUCAUAAAAAUGUAUAAUCCUAUUUGCAACACUUAAUUAUUUUUAAGAUGCUUGUUUUUUUCAUAGUUACCCUGAAAUUUAUUGAUUGUUUACUUUAAUAAUAAUAGUUUGAUAAUGAAACUAAUAAUAAUGAUAAACUUGAGAAGAGAACGGGGUCAUAUUUUCCAAGAUGAGCUGGAGUCAUAUAUACUUCCUGGCGAUGACCCGGGGUCAGCUUAAGAGCCUCGAUGAUACUGCUAUAAGGGCCAUCAGUGGUAGGAUAGGAAUGGAAGGAUAUGCUCAUCUGACAGUCACCAUGAUAUAUAGAAACAAAAACAAUAUCUUUUAUAUUAACAUUGUAUAUAGUACCUAUAUAAUGUGCUUGCAAAGUUAAAUUCUUAUAAAACAGGAACAUUUUUAAUUAAAGCAACAAUUACUAUGGACUCGAUCGAGUGAAACAAAACGAAUCAAAUCUAUAGCGGCUGUAAAUGUCUUAGCUAGUUGUGAUGCGAAAUAAAUUUAUAAGACAAGAAUUAAUAUAUGUGGUUCGAACACAAAUACCCUAGCUACGUCUAUAUCCCAACACGAAUCUCUAAGCUAACUUAGUAAAUAUUAGUCCACAUAAAUAAUUUAGAAGAAAAAACACAAAUUCAAGCUUAACUGAUCAGUUAGUGCUGGAUAACUAUCAAUAAACUGCUAAUUUCGGUAAGAGAAAAACUAUGCCUAUAUACCUCUCUCUAAUUGCGAGACAUUCUUUAAAUAUAGUACAUAACAUGUGUCAACUAUAUUCUUGGUUUUUCUAUGUUUAGGGUUUUAAAAUUUUAAUUUCAAAAAGUAUUUCAAAUAAUGUGUUAUCAUAACAUUAAUUAAUUGAGUAUAUAUCUUAUGUGAUUGACUUUAUCAUAAAUUAUAAUAAUAUCAUAUCAUUUGAGACAAAAAAAAAUUAGUUACUCUUAUAGAAAUUGUCCAAUGAUUGAGGGUAAUCGGUUUGGCUUCUCUCUCUCUCUCUGAAGCCUAGUUCCUUGUCUCAUUAUAAAGUACUUUGAGAAAGGCUAUUCAAUUAAUUUACAAACUUCUUUCAGUUUUUCCCCGACAAAGUAUUUCUUCAAUUCCAAAAUAUAUAAUCACUGUUGAAUCUUUAAAGUCAAAUCAAGACAUUUAACACUUAAAAUUGAUAUUAAAAUUUUAAAUUUUAAUUAAUACAAUGAUAAAUAUUAUUAAUUAUUUAAAAAAUAUAAUAUUUAUUAUUUUAUAAUUUAAAAAUCACCUCAAUUUUGAGUUUGAAAAUGUUUUACAUUUUAAAAAUUAAUAAUGAUUUUAUAAAUUAGAAUAGAAUGAGAAUUAAAAAUGGUAUCCUUACGAAAGAUAAAAACAAUAGGAAACAUACAUUUGAACGCAUUAAAAUAAAGGCAGAAAAGAUUCAGGCUAAAAACUGUAAAAAUGAAGGAAUUAUAUUGAACAUGAGAUUAGGUCUUAAUGUUUAUUACAUAGAUAUUGGAUUUCUUAGUACUCCCUCCGUUCCUUAAUAUAGGUCGUUUUAGACAUGUGCACAAGAAUUAAGGAAAUGAUUGAAAAGCAUUAACUAUAGUAUCAAUUGUCUAUAAUACCCUUCACCUCACUUAUCUCAUAAAUAUGGAUCAAAAGAUUAUGUGGAGUAAUAAGGGGCAAUUUGGAAAAAAUAAUAAUCAAUUCUCCUAGAUAACCACAAACGACAAAUAAUUAAGAAUAUAAAAAAAAAUCUAAAACGACCUACAUAUAGAAAUGGAGGGAGUACGUAGUAAUCAAACGCUUCGCAAUACAAUCCAAGGGGAAAAUACCUGAACACAAAAAACUACAUUUAGGAUAUAUAUAUGAUAUAAUCAACAACGUUAUAUGUUCAUCACAUACAACUAAAUCAACUAGAUUACUAGGAAAUGAAAGACAAAAUAUGCAGUAACAAGUAUUGAUCAGCCUCUUUCUCCAAGGGCUUUUGCCUUUGCUUGCCGGUCAUCUUAUCAAAACUUACUUCUGUACCAAUAGACUCCUUUUGUUUCACCUUCAUCUUUGUCAACAUAAAUGCAUUCCUUCAUUUCUCUAUACAUGGCCUUAAGAAUUGGAGUACCAUCAUACUGAUAAUAAUCUCCCAAUAUGGGCUUCAUGGCUUCGGUAGCUUCCAGUCCAUGAUAAUGUGGGAUUGAUGAGAAUAUGUGGUGACAAACGUGAGCAUUACACACGUUAUGGAAGACCUUGUUGAGGAUACCAUAAUCUCUAUCAACUGUGCAUAGAGCUCCCCUCAACCAAUCCCACUCGGUAGAAUCAUAAUAAGGCAAAGAUGGGUGGGUGUGAUUCAAUAUGGUAAUCAACACGAACCACCCGUUAACAAUAAGCAAUGGACCUCCGUACACAUGGAAAACCCAUGCAAAUCCCUUGGUCAAUACGAGACAGUAUAGUCCAUAAAUAACAGCAAGAAUAGCAACAUCAGAAAUAAUAAUCUCCUUUCGCUCACGGUCAGAAUAAAGUGGGCUAUGAGGAUCAUAAUGGGAGGUCCACCUUUCAUACUUGUGUC